ensembl:lncRNA
CACCACGUGCACUCAUUCUGGACCCUCUCCUGCAAACUGCACCACGUGCACUCAUUCUGGACCCUUUCCUGAGCAGGGGGACAAACUUUUCCAGGUCCGCCUCCAAACACGCAGAAUGACGUUGGAAACACAGUCUCUUUUGAGGUUGCCAUAGUGUGUCUGUAUUUUUGGAUAUUAAGAUCUAUUGCAAUCGAGUGGGGACCUGCAGCUAAGCUUAUAGUCAAGCAUAAUGGAGUGCAUAUGACAAUGACAAAAGGUUAUGUUGUCCAGAUAAAAGACGCUUGUUACCACCUAAUGGUCUUGUGAUGACAAAGGUAAAGUGGUCCACUGUCAUGGCAAAGGAGGACUCGGUUUAAAAAGUGUUGUUGCUGACCUUGCUUUGCACGCAGUCAUCUUCCACGAGCCCUUGCCUCUUACUGCGGGGGAGAUGAAGAGACUGUAAUGAUGUGCGGUCGGAGGUCAGUCAGAGCAUCUCCAGACUCUGUCGCUACUCCACACCAUUCAAGUGUCAUAUCUACACAACCCUCUGCAACACCAGAGAGAGAAGAGAAGGGAAGGAGAGAGAGCAUAUACCAUU